UUCAAAUAUUUAAAAGCGUUUAGCUUAAAAUAAAAUUACACGGUGAUGAGCUGAUGCAAAAAUAAAGUUACAAAGGGUGAACUAAUAAUUUUAUUGAAAUUUGAAAUUCCAAAUCAUCAGGCUUCCAACGCGGACGACCGUGGUUGGAUCGUCAAUUAUGACAUGAACCACUUGGUCACCCUAUCCUACCCAUGUAGAGAGAGAGAGAGGCACAAAACAGGGAGGGAGAGAGGGAGAGUGACGGAGGAAGCACAGAGAA
rnacentral:misc_RNA from 1 species